rnacentral:rRNA from 1 species
GAUGAACGCUGGCGGCGUGCCUAACACAUGCAAGUCGAGCGGGAUUGUGGAGUAGCUUGCUACGAAGCAAUCUAGCGGCGGACGGGUGAGUAACGCGUGGGCAACCUGCCCUAUACAGGGGGAUAACACACCGAAAGGUGUGCUAAUACCCCACUAACACCGAUGCUUCGCAUGGAGUGCCGGUCAAAGAUUUAUCGGUAUAGGAUGGGCCCGCGUCUGAUUAGCUAGUUGGUGAGGUAAAGGCUCACCAAGGCGACGAUCAGUAGCCGACCUGAGAGGGUGAUCGGCCACACUGGAACUGAGACACGGUCCAGACUCCUACGGGAGGCAGCAGUGGGGAAUAUUGCACAAUGGGGGGAAACCCUGAUGCAGCAACGCCGCGUGAGCGAUGAAGGCUUUCGGGUCGUAAAGCUCUGUCCUAAGGGAAGAAGAAUGACGGCACCUUAGGAGGAAGCCCCGGCUAACUACGUGCCAGCAG